rnacentral:rRNA from 1 species
CCUACGGGAGGCAGCAGUGGGGAAUAUUGGGCAAUGGAGGAAACUCUGACCCAGCGACGCCGCGUGAAGGAUGAAGGUCCUCGGAGUGGAAAGCUCUUUUCAUAGGGGAGAAGAAAGUGACGGUAGUUCAGGAAUAAGCCUCGGCUAACUACGUGCCAGCAGCCGCGGUAAUACGUCGGAGGCGAGCGUUAUCCGGAAUGACUGGUCGUAAAGAGUGCGUAGGUGGGUUGGAAAGUUAGUAGCGAAAGUCCACGGCUCAACCUUGGAACUGCUACUAAAACUGGUGGACUUGAGUGCAGGAGGGGCAACCGGAAUUCCUGGUGUAGCGGUGAAAUGCGUAGAUAUUAGGAGGAACACCAGUGGCGAAGGCGGGUUGCUAGACUGUAACUGACACUGAGGCACGAAAGCGUGGGGAGCAAACAGGAUUAGAUACCCCAGUAGUC